rnacentral:rRNA from 1 species
AGUGAACGCUGGCGGUAGGCCUAACACAUGCAAGUCGAACGGCAGCACAGGAGAGCUUGCUCUCUGGGUGGCGAGUGGCGGACGGGUGAGGAAUACAUCGGAAUCUACUCUGUCGUGGGGGAUAACGUAGGGAAACUUACGCUAAUACCGCAUACGACCUACGGGUGAAAGCAGGGGACCUUCGGGCCUUGCGCGAUUGAAUGAGCCGAUGUCGGAUUAGCUAGUUGGCGGGGUAAAGGCCCACCAAGGCGACGAUCCGUAGCUGGUCUGAGAGGAUGAUCAGCCACACUGGAACUGAGACACGGUCCAGACUCCUACGGGAGGCAGCAGUGGGGAAUAUUGGACAAUGGGCGCAAGCCUGAUCCAGCCAUACCGCGUGGGUGAAGAAGGCCUUCGGGUUGUAAAGCCCUUUUGUUGGGAAAGAAAUCCAGCUGGCUAAUGCGCGGUUGGGAUGACGGUACCCAAAGAAUAAGCACCGGCUAACUUCGUGCCAGCAGCCGCAGUAA